rnacentral:rRNA from 1 species
GAUGAACGCUGGCGGCGUGCCUAAUACAUGCAAGUCGAGCGAACGGACGAGAAGCUUGCUUCUCUGAUGUUAGCGGCGGACGGGUGAGUAACACGUGGAUAACCUACCUAUAAGACUGGGAUAACUUCGGGAAACCGUAGCUAAUACCGGAUAAUAUUUUGAACCGCAUGGUUCAAAAAUGAAAGACGGUCUUGCUGUCACUUAUAGAUGGAUCCGCGCUGCAUUAGCUAGUUGGUAAGGUAACGGCUUACCAAGGCAACGAUGCAUAGCCGACCUGAGAGGGUGAUCGGCCACACUGGAACUGAGACACGGUCCAGACUCCUACGGGAGGCAGCAGUAGGGAAUCUUCCGCAAUGGGCGAAAGCCUGACGGAGCAACGCCGCGUGAGUGAUGAAGGUCUUCGGAUCGUAAAACUCUGUUAUUAGGGAAGAACAUAUGUGUAAGUAACUGUGCACAUCUUGACGGUACCUAAUCAGAAAGCCACGGCUAACUACGUG